rnacentral:rRNA from 1 species
AACGAACGCUGGCGGCAUGCCUAACACAUGCAAGUCGAACGAAAACUUCGGGCCUUGUGGCGCACGGGUGCGUACGGCGUGGGAAGCUGCACUUAGGUUAGGAGUAACUCACUGAAGGGGGUCCUAAUAAAGGUUAAUGUCAUAGGGCAAAGGAUCUUUUGCCUUGGGAUGGGCCCUGGUUGGAUUAGCUGGUUGGUAGGGUACAAGCCUACCAAGGCGACGUUCCAUAGCUGGUCGGUGAGGAUGAUCAGCCACGCUGGGACUGAGACACGGCCCAGACUCGGACGGAAGGCAGCAGUGGGGAAUAUUGGACGAGGGGCGAAAGCCUGAUCCAGCAAUGCCGCGUGAGUGAGGAAGGCCUUAGGGUUGUAAAGCUCUUUUAGCCGAGAUGAGAAUGACAGUACCGGGAGAAUAAGCUCCGGCUAACUCCGUG